GACGAACCGUCCAAACGUUAUUCGGAAUCACUGGGCUUAAAGGGUGCGUAGGCGGAGCGGCAAGUCAGAGGUGAAAGCCCACGGCUCAACCGUGGAAGUGCCCCUGAAACGGCCUCUCUCGAGGGAGAUAGGGGCGUGCGGAACUCAGAGUGGAGCGGUGAAAUGCGUAGAUAUUCUGAGGAACACCGGUGUCGAAAGCGGCACGCUGGGUCUUUUCUCACGCUGGGGCACGAAAGCUAGGGGAGUAAACGGG
rnacentral:rRNA from 1 species